GACGAACGCUGGCGGCGUGCUUGACACAUGCAAGUCGAACGGAAAGGCCUGCUUUCCCUUGUGGAUUGCGGGUACUCGAGUGGCGAACGGGUGAGUAACACGUGAGUGAUCUGCCCCCAACUUGGGUAUAAGCCUGGGAAACUGGGUCUAAUUCCCGAUAGGACUGCAGGGUGGUGCCUGUGGUGGAAAACGAUUUUCUAGUGGUUGGGGAUGAGCUCGCGGCCUAUCAGCUUGUUGGUGGGGUAAUGGCCUACCAAGGCGGCGACGGGUAGCCGGCCUGGGAGAGUGGACGGCCACAUUGGGACUGAGUGACGGCCCAGACUCCUACGGGAGGCAGCAGUGGGGAGUAUGGGACAAUGGGCGGAAGCCUGAUGCAGCGACGCCGGGUGGGGGAUGACGGACUUCGGGUUGUAAACUCCUUUCGACCGCGAGGAAGCCACCUGGUUGGAAGGGUGGUGACGGUAGUGGUAGAAGAAGCACCGGCUAACUACGUG
rnacentral:rRNA from 1 species